GUGCCAUCAGUACUGGCCAGCAGAGCGAUCAGCCAGGUACCAGUACUUUGUAGUGCCCCCUGGCCGAGUACAACAUGCCCCAGUACAUCUACGAGAGUUCAAAGUACCGAUGCCAGGGACGGCCAGUCUCGACGGUUCGUCAGUUCCAGUUCACUGAUUGGCCGGAGCAAGGAGUGCAAAAUCAGGGGAGGGGUUCAUUGAUUUCAUUGGCCAGGUGCACAAACUAAAGAGCAGUUUGGCCAGGACGGACCAAUCACGGUGCACUGUAGUGCUGGUGUGGGGAGGACAGGGGUCUUCAUCACUCUGAGUAUCGUUCUGGAGAGGAUGAGAUAUGAAGGAGUAGUGGACAUCUUCCAGACUGUSAAGAUGCUGCGAACACAGAGACCUGCMACAGUUCAGACUGAGGACCAGUACCAGUUCUGUUACCGGGCCGGUCUGGAGUAUCUGGGUAGCUUCGACCACUAUGCAACAUAAUACCUCCCUCUGGCCGCGUCCCAUACAACACCCUAACUCCCUGUGUAGUGCACUACUUUAGACCACAGUGUAUUCUCACUUCUUUGGCCCAGUGUGUACACUCAAAAGUAGUGCACUACUGGUUAGUGCACUACACAGGUAAUAGGGGCCAUUUGAGAUUAGGCCUCCACCACCUCCAGAGGGCAGGGCACCAUGGCUCACUCCGCCCCCAAAACGAGCACCUAAACUGAGCCAUAUUUGCGUGUCUGACCGGGGGAUACCUCCAGACCUAACCCAAACCCACUCACUACUCACUCAGAAGUGCACUACUUUGUGCACUAUGUAGGGAAUAGGGUGCCAUUUUUGGACGCAAACUGACACUACUUAACAACGGAUUGAGGAUUCAACGAUUGAUAACGGAACAAGUCUUUACAUGGUAAGGAAGACAGUUAGGGAACUCACGUCAUUCACAGUGGAACAAGUCUUUACAUGGUAAAG